UGGGGAAUAUUGCACAAUGGGCGCAAGCCUGAUGCAGCCAUGCCGCGUGUAUGAAGAAGGCCUUCGGGUUGUAAAGUACUUUCAGCGGGGAGGAAGGUGUUGUGGUUAAUAACCGCAGCAAUUGACGUUACCCGCAGAAGAAGCACCGGCUAACUCCGUGCCAGCAGCCGCGGUAAUACGGAGGGUGCAAGCGUUAAUCGGAAUUACUGGGCGUAAAGCGCACGCAGGCGGUCUGUCAAGUCGGAUGUGAAAUCCCCGGGCUCAACCUGGGAACUGCAUUCGAAACUGGCAGGCUAGAGUCUUGUAGAGGGGGGUAGAAUUCCAGGUGUAGCGGUGAAAUGCGUAGAGAUCUGGAGGAAUACCGGUGGCGAAGGCGGCCCCCUGGACAAAGACUGAUGCUCAGGUGCGAAAGCGUGGGGAGCAAACA
rnacentral:rRNA from 1 species